rnacentral:rRNA from 1 species
CUGCUGCCUUCCGUAGGAGUCUGGUCCGUGUCUCAGUACCAGUGUGGGGGACCUUCCUCUCAGAACCCCUAUCCAUCGUGGACUUGGUGAGCCGUUACCUCACCAACUAUCUAAUGGAACGCAUGCCCAUCUAUCAGCGAUAAUUCUUUAACAAAUAUUUCCAUGUGGAACCCCUGUUUUAUGCGGUAUUAGUCCGACUUUCGCCGGGUUAGUUUCCCCUUCCUUGAUAGGUAGGUUGUCAUACGCGUUACUCACCCGUCGCGCCGGUCG